GAAAAAAAAAAUUCAAUUUUGCAAUUAAAGGCUAGGUUAAUGGAAUUGAGAGAUAAAAGAUUAAUAGGAAAACUAAGAACAUGAAGAACUGAAGUGAGACUUAUAUUGAGAGUGCAUGUAAUAGAACUUGUAUUAGAAAUUGUGAUUAAGGAACAUUUGUUAUAUGGAUUUUUUCUUUUUCUGAGCAUGGGAAAUAGGUAGAGAAUUUAUUUGAAG
rnacentral:misc_RNA from 1 species